GUUUACGUCACCUUUAGUUCCUGUAUUGCCUUUGCAGUGGAGAGAGCCUUUUUUAGCUGGUUACGUUACGAAAGUACAUAGUUUUAGGUGUUAGGCUUGGGGGCUCUGGGACAGAGUGUCGUCUUCUCGCCUUUGGAGCCGUGUCCUUAACUAGUGUUGUUUGUUGGGUGUUAAGCUGCCGGU